rnacentral:rRNA from 1 species
AGCGAACGCUGGCGGCAGGCCUAACACAUGCAAGUCGAACGAAGUCUUCGGACUUCGUGGCGGACGGGUGAGUAACACGUGGGAACGUACCUUUUGGUUCGGAACAACUCAGGGAAACUUGAGCUAAUACCGGAUGAGCCCUUAGGGGGAAAGAUUUCUCGCCGAAAGAGCGGCCCGCGUUAGAUUAGCUAGUUGGUGAGGUAAAGGCUCACCAGGGCUACGAUCGAUAGCUGGUCUGAGAGGAUGAUCAGCCACACCGGGACUGCGACACGGCCCAGACUCCUACGGGAGGCAGCAGUGGGGAAUCUUGCGCAAGGGGCGAAAGCCUGACGCAGCCAUGCCGCGUGAAUGAUGAAGGUCUUAGGAUUGUAAAAUUCUUUUACCAGGGACGAUAAUGACGGUACCUGGAGAAAAAGCCCCGGCUAACUUCGUGCCAGCCGCCGCGGUAAGAC